GCUACCGUAGCGCAGUCGGUAGCGCGUCAGUCUCAUGAUCUGAAGGUCGUGAGUUCGAGCCUCACUGGGAGCA
rfam:Angiostrongylus cantonensis strain Taiwan genome assembly, scaffold: ACAC_scaffold0004524